rnacentral:rRNA from 1 species
GUGCCAGCCGCCGCGGUAAUACCGGCAGCCCGAGUGAUGGCCGAUCUUAUUGGGCCUAAAGCGUCCGUAGCUGGCCAGACAAGUCCGUUGGGAAAUCCACCCGCUUAACGGGUGGGCGUCCAGCGGAAACUGUCCGGCUUGGAGCCGGAAGACCUGAGGGGUACGUCCGGGGUAGGAGUGAAAUCCUGUAAUCCUGGACGGACCGCCGAUGGCGAAAGCACGUCGGGAAGACGGAUCCGACGGUGAGGGACGAAAGCCAGGGUCUCCAACCGGAUUAGAUACCCGGGUAGUCC